CGCCGAUAAGGGCAAACCCUUCGAAAGAGGGGGGCGCAAUGCCACGGGCCUACCGCUCGAUACCCGCCAGAGAGCGACGGUCGCCGGGCUGCCGAA
rnacentral:ncRNA from 1 species